AUUGAACGCUGGCGGCAUGCUUUACACAUGCAAGUCGAGCGGCAGCGCGGGGGCAACCCUGGCGGCGAGCGGCGAACGGGUGAGUAAUGCAUCGGAACGUGUCCCGUAGUGGGGGAUAAC
rnacentral:rRNA from 1 species